AGGGUCUCCAGCUGCCCCCGGGCAUCGCGGGCUUCCCGAUGUGCUCGUUAAACAUCCACCGGGGAGUCUCACCCCCCAAACUUGUGUGAGCCGCUUCCUCUGGGAACAAUCACCCUUUCUCCCCCCCGCCUUGGAUCGGAUCCCGAUGGAAACUCAUCAAGGCCUCCUAAGUGGUCAGAGAAAAUCCUGACACAUUCAGCACCCUAAAGAAAUGGGGUUUUGUCAAUAAUUUGAUUUCCCUGCACUGCUCGGUGACUCUGCCUUGCCCUUUGUGUACUGUGCACUCAUCUUCCUCUGCAUUACAGGGAGAAUGGUCCAUUUCUUUUCAGAAAAAAAAUUCAAGUGUUUUGAAGCUUUUUUGUUUCAUUUAGUUUUUACUCCACUCCUGAGGUAGGGCUCGUAUGUUGGUUUUCUGUUUCCCAGGUAAGGCAUAUGCAUUAAAACCCAAAAGUGUUAGUGACUUCUUAGUACCUGAUUUUUCACACUUAGGAGCUCUACACUUUCAGAAUAGCUUACAUGAUACCUUGAAGCAGUGGCUGGUGCUCACCUUAUAUUAAGUUUGUGCUCCCAGUUGUUGGUUUUUAUCUGGUCCUAGAGUUUGACUAGGAGAACCUUAUGGUUUUCUUAGACUCAUUCUCAUAAGUAACUAAAUCUUUUUGUGUGAAAUUAUGCAGAGAGGCAGAGAAUCAACAUGGGAAAGUCCAUCUCAACAACAAAAUUUUAGCAGGGGUGUAAAUUGUUGUAAGCUGAGCUUCAUCGUGGGAAAUGCUCAGUAAUUAGACUACUGCUUGGUAUUAAUCCUGGAGUUCUAACAGAGAGAAGAGAAGAGAAGAGAA